rnacentral:lncRNA from 1 species
UCUUGGAUCUUCAAUACAAAGUUCUCCAUGAUCUUCAUGGAGAUCUAUCCGAUGUAAUCUUCUUUGGCGGUGUGUUUAUCGAGAUCCGAUGAAUUGUGGACUUGUUAUCAGAUUAUCUAUGAUAUAUAUUUGAGUCUUUGUUGAUUUCUUAUAUGCAUGAUUUGAUAUCCUUGUAAGUCUCUCCGAGUCUUGGGUUUGGUUUGGCCAACUAGAUCUAUGAUUCUUAAAACCGGAGAAGUGCUUGGUUUUGGGUUCUGCCAUGUGGUGACCUUUCCCAGUGAUAGUAGGGGCUGCAUGGCACACAUCAAGCAGUUUCCAUCAAGGAUAAAAAGAUUGGGUUUUUAACAUUGGUUUGAGAUUAUCCCUCUACAUCAUGUCAUCUUGCUUAAGGCGUUACUCUGUUCUUAUGGACUUAAUACACUAGAUGCAUGCUGGAUAGCGGAUGACGUGUGGAGUAAUAGUAGUAGAUGCAGAAAGUAUCUGUCUACUUGUUUCAGACGUGAUGCCUAUAGAAAUAAUCAUUGCAUAGAUAUCGUCACGACUCUGCACAGUUCUAUCAAUUGCUCGACAGUAAAUUGUUCACCCUCCGUCUAUUUGCUUUCAUGAGAGAAGCCACUAGUAAACACUACGGCCCCCGGUUCUAUUCACAUCCAUCGUUUACAACUCCUCUUUUACUUUGCUUUGUUACUUUGUUGCUUUCAGUUCUCACAUGGCAAACAAUCUAUAAGGGAUUGACAACCCCUUCAUAGCGUUGGGUGCAAGCUUUUGUGUUUGUGCAGGAUCUUGAGAUACUCUUCCGCCGGAUUGAUACCUUGGUUCUCAAUCUGAGGGAAAUACUUACCGCCGUUGUGCUACAUCACCCUUUCCGCUUCGAGGAAACAACAACGCAAGGCUCCAAGGCCAUGGGGGAAAUCCUUUGCAUACUUGCCUAGGAAGUCCCUUAAGGCGUAGCCAUAGCUGAAGGAUUCCUGGUGCCGUCGACACAACUAUUUCGAGCUCCGUUGCAAGGGAUACACAACAAACAUCAGAAGUAUUUUUGGCGCCGUUGCCGGGGAGAAGAAAUCAAGAUCUAUCCAAGUAGGUCUCACAAACUCUUCUCUUGCAUUUACUUUUGUUGCCAGUUGCCUCUCGUUUUCCUCUCCCUCACUUCACAUUUGGCAUUUUCAUUCGCCUUUCGCCUUCGCCAUUUUCUUUUGCCUUUGUCGGUUUUCUUCCUCGCUUGUGUGC